rnacentral:rRNA from 1 species
UACAGAGACCUCAAGCGUUAAUCGGAAUUACUGGGCGUAAAGCGUGCGCAGGUGGCAGUGUAAGUCUGCUGUCAAAGAAUGAGGCUUAACCUCAUCAAGGCAGUGGAAACUACACAGCUAGAGUACGGUCGGGGUAGAAGGAAUUCCUGGUGUAGCGGUGAAAUGCGCAGAUAUCAGGAAGAACACCCGUGGCGAAGGCGGCUCUCUGGGACGGUACUGACGCUGAGACGCGAAAGCGUGGGGAGCGAACAGG